rnacentral:rRNA from 1 species
UACGGGGGGGGCAAGCGUUGUUCGGAAUUACUGGGCGUAAAGGGCUCGUAGGUUGCCAACUAAGUCAGACGUGAAAUCCCUCGGCUUAACCGGGGAACUGCGUCUGAUACUGGAUGGCUUGAGAUUGGGAGAGGGAUGCGGAAUUCCAGGUGUAGCGGUGAAAUGCGUAGAUAUCUGGAGGAACACCGGUGGCGAAGGCGGCCUGCUGGGCAGUAGCUGACGCUGAGGCGCGACAGCGUGGGGAGCGAACAGG